CGAUCCUGCCAGGUUUCGAACCUGGAAUCUUCUGAUCCGUAGUCAGACUUUCUAAUAAUUCCAUUUCUAAAUCAACC